GACAGAGGAUGCAAGCGUUAUCCGGAAUGAUUGGGCGUAAAGCGUCUGUAGGUGGCUUUCAAGUCCGCCGUCAAAUCCCAGGGCUCAACCCUGGACAGGCGGUGGAAACUACCAAGCUGGAGUACGGUAGGGGCAGAGGGAAUUCCGGUGGAGCGGUGAAAUGCAUUGAGAUCGGAAAGAACACCAACGCGAAAGCACUCUGCUGGCCGACACUGACACUGAGAGACGAAAGCUAGGGGAGCAAAUGGG
rnacentral:rRNA from 1 species